UCAAGCCAUGCCCUUCCCUUUUGCAAGCUCCCGUGGCUCGCGACCCGCAGCCCACCCCUGCACCAGUGGACACUGCGGGAUGGCCUGGCCUCGGCUCUGCAUUUUCACUUCUCUUAGCUCUCAUCUCCUCCACCACAGAGACAGCUCUGUCUGAGUAUCUUUCUGAUACUGUUCUUUAUCCCCCAGGACUGGCCCAGCCCAGGGCGGAAGAACUUAUUAGUUUGAAUUACAAACAACAGAAGUAGAAAACUCCACAAGGAAAAAUCUCAGCUGGUGAAGAAGCUCAGGAGCUCACAGAAGUGUGAUGAAGUAAUCAAACCAUCGCCAUCGGCUAAGGAAACCGAGGGGUGCAGAGCUGAUGUCGCUUGGCCCGCAAGCCACGGAGAGUGGGAGCAAGAGGAGGUUUGGUCAGGCUGCCUCUGCCCCUGUCUUUCUCGGCCCACAGGCUCCAAGCAGGCAGGACCAGACCGCAGCUUCCAGGUGCUGGGAUCCGGGGACCACACCUUCACCUGCUGCUCUCUUGAAGGAAAAACAAAUAUCUGCCUCUGGCAGGUAAAAAAAAAAUAAAAGGAGUGCGUCUCA
rnacentral:lncRNA from 1 species